rnacentral:lncRNA from 1 species
GGGGUGGUGGUUUUCCGUUACUUUUUUGGUAUUUUUGAUCAAGUAUAUUUGACAUAUUUUCAUAUAUUAUUGACACGUCUUAUUAUAGACUUGCAUUUGAAAAACUAAUUUUUCCAAGUACAAGCAAUCCGCACAUAGCCUUGAAAACACUAUGCCACGUUGCUUCCAUAUUCUUUUCUGAACGCAGACAUACUUGUUUAUGAAUGCACAACCUACCCAAUUUCCGAUGAAAUUUUCUGCUUACAAGCAGUGGAUAGACCAUCGACUUUUUAAACAUAAUGGUACAGACAAUGAUUUAAUCAGAAUUAACAGAAAUUACAACUUUUUUCACUUACUAGAAACUCUAAUACUCCAUCUUUUGGCCUUGUUGUUGGCUGUUUUAGAUUUUACAAAUUUU